CUUUGUUCUUUCCUUUGGCUCUGUUGUCAUGGUCGGUGGUACAGAUUGUCCUGAAGCUUAGUAGUGUUCCAAAACCUCUUCCUUGGUUCACCUGCUGCUGUUUUGUGUGUAUGCUGUUUUGUUUAUGCCGUUAACAUCAAUGUUUAAUUUAGUUAGUUUUCUAUAUUUUGGUUGAUUUCGUUUUUGCUUAUAUUUUGAUUUAGUACGUGCAAUAAUAAAGAUGAUUUUCA